rnacentral:rRNA from 1 species
GACGAACGCUGGCGGCGUGCUUAACACAUGCAAGUCGAACGGAAAGGCCCUGCUUUUGUGGGGUGCUCGCGUGGCGAACGGUUGAGUAACACGUGAGUAACCUGCCCUUGACUUUGGGAUAACUUCAGGAAACUGGGGCUAAUACCGGAUAGGAGCUCCUGCUGCAUGGUGGGGGUUGGAAAGUUUCGGCGCUUGGGGAGGGCCUCGCGGCUUAUCAGCUUGUUGUCUGGGUAGUGGCUUACCAAGGCUUUGACGGGUAGCCGGCCUGAGCGGGUGACCGGCCACAUUGGGACUGAGAUACGGCCCAGCCUCCUACGGGAGGCAGCAGUGGGGAAUAUUGCACAAUGGGCGGAAGCCUGAUGCAGCAACGCCGCGUGCGGGAUGACGGCCUUCGGGUUGUAAACCGCUUUCGCCUGUGACGAAGCGUGAGUGACGGUAAUGGGUAAAGAAGCACCGGCUAACUACGUG